UACGUAGGGGGCAAGCGUUGUCCGGAUUUAUUGGGCGUAAAGAGCGUGUAGGCGGCCUUACAGGUCAGCUGUGAAAACUCGAGGCUCAACCUCGAGACGUCGGCGGAAACCCUCUGGCUAGAGUCCGGAAGAGGAGAGUGGAAUUCCUGGUGUAGCGGUGAAAUGCGCAGAUAUCAGGAAGAACACCCGUGGCGAAGGCGGCUCUCUGGGACGGUACUGACGCUGAGACGCGAAAGCGUGGGGAGCAAACAGG
rnacentral:rRNA from 1 species